AUUGAACGCUGGCGGCAGGCCUAACACAUGCAAGUCGAGCGGAGCGGCGGUCGGGUGAGUAAUGCCUAGGAAUCUGCCUGGUAGUGGGGGAUAACGUCCGGAAACGGUCGCUAAUACCGCAUCCUAUCAGAUUAGCCUAGGUCGGAUUUGCUAGUUGGUGGGGUAAAGGCCUACCAAGGCGACGAUCCGUAACUGGUCUGAGUGGAGGAUCAGUCACAAUGGAACGGAGACACGGUCCAGACUCCUCAGGGAGGCAGCAGUGGGGAAUAUUGGACAAGGGGCGAAAGCCUGAUCCAGCCAUGCCGCGUGUGUGAAGAAGGUCUUCGGAUUGUAAAGCACUUUAAGUUGGGAGGCGUUACCAACAGAAUAAGCACCGGCUAACUUCGUGCCAGCAGCCGCGGUAAUUC
rnacentral:rRNA from 1 species